rnacentral:ncRNA from 2 species
CAAGUUCACUCUGGAGAGUCUUCGCAUAUGCGAAGCGCCGAAGGUGUCGCGGUUAAGUGAUCGGAUGAUCUGUGUGUAUCGUAUGGAUCGGUCCUUUCAGGUUAUGACCGCUUAUCUCUCAGGCAAAAGGACAGAGCAUACCAC